GAUGAACGCUGGCGGCGUGCCUAAUACAUGCAAGUCGAGCGAACAGACGAGGCUCUUGCUCGUCUGACGUUAGCGGCGGGGGGGUGAGUAACACGAGGAUCCCCUACCUAAAAGACUGAUAUCACUACGAGAAACCGGAUCAAACAUCGGAUAAUAUAUUGAACCGCGUGGGUCGUUAGUAAACGUCGGUGUUGCUGGCACUUCUAGAUGGUUCCCGGCCGGUUGAUCGAGUAGGUAAGGUAACGGCUUUCCAAGGCAACGAUGCGUGGCCGACCUGAGAGGGGGAUCGGCCACACUGGAACUGAGACACGGUCCAGACUCCUACGGGAGGCAGCAGUAGGGAAUGUUCCGCAAUGGGCGAAAGCUUGACGGAGCAACGCCGCGUGUGUGAUGAAGGUCUUCGGAUCGUAAAACUCUGUUAGGAGGGAAGAACAAAUGUGUAAGUAAACAUGCCCGUAUUGACGGUACCUAAUCAGAAAGCACCGGCUAACUACGUG
rnacentral:rRNA from 1 species